rnacentral:rRNA from 1 species
UAACGCGUAAAGAACUUGCCUCACAGCUAGGGACAACAUUUAGAAAUGAAUGCUAAUACCUGAUAUUAUGAUUUUAAGGCAUCUUAGAAUUAUGAAAGCUAUAAGCACUGUGAGAGAGCUUUGCGUCCCAUUAGCUAGUUGGAGGGGUAACAGCUCACCAAGGCGAUGAUGGGUAGCCGGCCUGAGAGGGUGAACGGCCACAAGGGGACUGAGACACGGCCCUU